UACGUAGGGUGCAAGCGUUAAUCGGAAUUACUGGGCGUAAAGCGUGCGCAGGCGGUUUUGUAAGACUGUCGUGAAAUCCCCGGGCUAACCUGGGAAUGGCGAUGGUGACUGCAAGGCUAGAGUUUGGCAGAGGGGGGUAGAAUUCCACGUGUAGCAGUGAAAUGCGUAGAGAUGUGGAGGAACACCGAUGGCGAAGGCAGCCCCCUGGGUCAAAACUGACGCUCAUGCACGAAAGCGUGGGGAGCAAACAGG
rnacentral:rRNA from 1 species